rnacentral:rRNA from 1 species
GUCCACGCCGUAAACUAUGGAUGCUAGCUGUUAUGAGUAUCGACCCUCGUAGUAGCGAAGCUAACGCGUUAAGCAUCCCGCCUGUGGAGUACGGUCGCAAGACUAAAACAUAAAGGAAUUGACGGGGACCCCGCACAAGCGGUGGAGCGUGUUGUUUAAUUCGAUGGUAAGCGAAGAACCUUACCCAGGCUUGACAUCCUGCUAAGGACUCUGAAAAGAGACUGUGCCUUCGGGAAGGCAGUGACAGGUGAUGCAUGGCCGUCGU